CCUACGGGUGGCAGCAGUAGGGAAUAUUGCUCAAUGGGGGAAACCCUGAAGCAGCAACGCCGCGUGGAGGAUGGUGGUUUUAGGAUGGUAAACUCCUUUUGUUAGAGAAGAUUAUUACUGUAUCUAACGAAUAAGCACCGGCUAACUCCGUGCCAGCAGCCGCGGUAAUCCGGAGGGUGCAAGCGUUACUCGGAAUCACUGGGCGUAAGGAGUGCGUAGGCGGGGGAAUAGGGCAGAUGUGAAAGCCUGUAGCUUACCUACAGAACUGCAUUUGAAACUGUUACUCUGGAGUGUGGGAGAGGUAGGUGGAAUGCUUGGUGUAGGGGUAAAAUCCGUAGAGAUCAAGAGGAAUACUCAUUGCGAAGGCGACCUGCUGGAACAUUAUUGACGCUGAUGCACGAAAGCGUGGGGAGCAAACAGGAUUAGAUACCCGGGUAGUC
rnacentral:rRNA from 1 species